rnacentral:rRNA from 1 species
CGCUGGCGGCGUGGAUAAGACAUGCAAGUCGAGCGAGAUUUUUUCUUGUAGCAAUACAGGGAAACGUCUAGCGGCGAACGGGUGCUUAACACGUGGGCAAUCUGCCGAGAAGUGGGGGAUAGCUCGCCGAAAGGCGAAUUAAUACCGCAUGUGAUUAGAGUGGACAUCCAUUCAAAAUCAAAGUCGGGGCAACCUGACGCUUUUUGAGGAGCCCGCGGCCUAUCAGCUAGUUGGUGAGGUAACGGCUCACCAAGGCUUUGACGGGUAGCUGGUCUGAGAGGACGACCAGCCACACUGGGACUGAGACACGGCCCAGACACCUACGGGUGGCAGCAGUCGAGAAUUUUUCUCAAUGGGGGAAACCCUGAAGGAGCGACGCCGCGUGGAGGAUGAAGGCCUUCGGGUUGUAAACUCCUGUCAUUUGGGAACAAGUCGUAAAUAUUAACUGUAUUUGCGUUGAUAGUACCAGAAGAGGAAGAGACGGCUAACUCUGUGCCAGCAGCCGCGGUAAUACAGAGGUCUCAAGCGUUGUUCGGAUUCAUUGGGCGUAAAGGGUGCGUAGGCGGCGCGGUAAGUCGGAUGUGAAAUCUCGGGGCUUAACUCCGAAACUGCAUUCGAUACUGCCGUGCUUGAGGACUGGAGAGGAGACUGGAAUUUACGGUGUAGCGGUGAAAUGCGUAGAUAUCGUAAGGA